UGUUACGUGAUAACGCAAUGUCAACAUAUAAAAAUCGAUUCAGUGAAAAAAGGAGUAAUAAAGAUGAAAGUUACGAAGUUAGAAGAUCCGCGCGAGCAAGCAGAAACAACAAUGACGAUGAGUUGCUAAGAGAACUAAAUGAAAAGGAUUUGAAAGAAGUCGAAAGUAAUAUAGAAAAUUAUAACAAUUUUGAAAAAUUAAAAAACAUAUCAAGCGAAGAAUUUGAAAAUUUGUUAAAUGAUGAUGAAUAUUGUAAGGGGCUACUUAAUAAUAAAAAUCAUCUUUCUGUUAUAAACAAUAAAAAUGAAAGAGUGUCAAUGUCAAGACUGUCAAAAGUAAGUUUAUUAAAUGAUGAUUAUUUUUUAAGAGAAGGUUUCGAUUUAGAUGAUAUAAAUGAGAAGUUAAAUAAAAAAAAUAAAAGAGAUAGUUUAUUAUCUCUUCGUAAUAUAAGAAAUUCUUCCGUUUUUAAUUUAAGUAUUACAGAUGACAAUUUAAAAAUGUCUUCUCAAAAUUAUGAUUAUGAUAAGAGUGAUAGAUUUAUGAAUAUGUCUUUAUCUCAUGGAGAACAGGCGUAUGAUAGUGAUUUGAUUACUCCUCCUCGGAUAAAAAUUAAUGACAAUAAUAUAAAUGAUGAUAAUAGUAAUAAUAUAAAUGAUGAUAAUAGUAAUAAUAUAAAUGAUGAUAAUAGUAAUAAUGGUAAUAAUAAUAAUAAUGGUAAUAAUAAUAAUAAUGGUAAUAAUAAUAAUGGUAAAGGUAGUUACGAUUAUAAUUAUCGAAUAAAUGCAAGAAGACAUAGUGCAACUAGUGUAUCAAAUAAUAGAGAAAAAAAUAAAUCAAUUGAUAUAUUGGAUGAAGAAUUAGAUAAUUUGAAAAAAAAAUUUUUAUUAGAUAAUAAUGAAAAUAUAAAUAGUUUAAAUUAUGAGGAUGGAGAUGGUAUAUAUGAUAAUGAUUAUUUAUUGAAUGAAUACACAAGUGAUUCUGAAUUUUUAAGAAGAACACAAUUAAAAAAAAAAUCAAGUCUUGAAAAGGUACUAACUAAUCAUGGAAAUGAUGAUGUUUUAAAUCAUAGCAGACUAUCUAGUAGUAGUUUGUCCUUAUGGGAAGAUAAAAUAAGUUCUACUAGAAAAAUAAAAUUAAACGAAACACCAAAAAAAGGUAUAUUAAAGCAAAGUAGUUCUAUUUCACCUCUGAAAGAAUUAAAUGAGAAUUCAAUUAGUGCUAGAAGAAAAUCAGUUCAGUUUUCUCAUCGAUAUGUAGCUGUUUUCGAUGAGCGAGAAAAAGUUUCUCCUUUACAUUUGACUCAGUAUACAAGAAUAUCUAGUGACUCUAAUAAAUCUGAUUUGAAAAAAGGAGUAAUAAUAAGUGAUGGUUCAGGUGUAUACGACACAAAUAAUAACAGUAACAACUUGGAUGAAAGACAUGCGGAUAUCGUAGAAAAUUCAGCCAUCGAUAAGCUUUUAAAUAAACACGAUCGUGAUAGCGAUAGUGAUAAAAGUAGUAACAAAAGUAGUAACAAAAGUAGUAACAAAAGAAUGUUAAGUGAAUCAUCGCGAUAUAAUGUUAGAACUUCUGUUGACAAUGUAGAGUCUUCUCGUGUUUUUCUAUUACAAAAUAAAGUAUAUGAUGAUAACAAUCAAGAGUAUGAUAACAGUUUGAAUAUCAGUAAUAACGAUGACAUGCUUUUGAAUAGACAUGGAAAGAGUGUUAACGAAAAUGCGAAUAAUUACGAACAUGCGAAUAAUUACGAAAAUGCGAAUAAUU
rnacentral:lncRNA from 1 species